AUUGAACGCUGGCGGCAGGCCUAACACAUGCAAGUCGAACGGCAGCGGGGGAUAGCUUGCUAUCCUGCCGGCGAGUGGCGGACGGGUGAGUAAUGCAUGGGGAGCUGCCCAAUCGAGGGGGAUAACAACUGGAAACGGUUGCUAAUACCGCAUACGCCCUGCGGGGGAAAGGUGGGGACCUUCGGGCCUACCGCGAUUGGAUGCACCCAUGUGGGAUUAGCUGGUUGGUGAGGUAACGGCUCACCAAGGCGACGAUCUCUAGCUGGUCUGAGAGGAUGACCAGCCACACUGGAACUGAGACCCGGUCCAGACUCCUACGGGAGGCAGCAGUGGGGAAUAUUGCACAAUGGGGGAAACCCUGAUGCAGCCAUGCCGCGUGUGUGAAGAAGGACUUCGGGUUGUAAAGCACUCUCAGUGGGGAGGAAGGGUUGAUGACUAAUAUUCAUCAGCAUUGACGUUACCCACAGAAGAAGCACCGGCUAACUCCGUGCCAGCAGCCGCGGUAAGAC
rnacentral:rRNA from 1 species